UGUCUCGAUUCCUCUCGCUCCAGACAUUGUAUUCAUAUAAUUUCUUCAAUAGAAGUUACUUCAACAACUAUGGAAUCUAACCUCUAAAGUAAACUACACUCAUCACGUUUUAAAGUCAAACGGACUUAUAAUGCUGAAAGAAUAGAUCAAUAAAUAGAAUCAACCUUCAAUGGAAAGCUUUCAUCAUCAAAAAACUGUGAGAAUUUUUGAGGUUAAUUAUUUUCAUAACAAACAUUUUCAAUUAAAAUAAUUUAUUUUUUAAUUAAUAAAAAUUUUAUUGAUGAAAUUUAAAAAAUAACUAGAUAUUUAGAAGUUAUAUCCGACCAUUAUCAACGAACAACUUUAGAAAGCCUACUAAGUUAUAGGUUCGAUGUAGAUCAAGAUGAAAGCAAUUAACGAUUAAAACAAAUUCAGACCAAAUUAAUAACUAAUGAUAAAAAUGUAUUUAGUAGGUUGUUGAAAAAUUUCAAAUAAUUAAAUAGAUAAGAAAACGUUAGAGAUAUUUUAAAACGGCCUUGAUUUAUCCUCAAAGAUCCUUGAUAAAAAAAAAGAUACUUGAAAAUAGUAUUAACGUAAAUAUUUCCCCAGGGUCAUUUACAACUGAGAAUGAAAUAAAAUACUGAGUAUAUAUUCCAGUCAUUUGGACAGUUACUUAACCUUCUAGAAUUCUAGCUGUAAUUUUCUCAUUCUUUUUGACUCUUUUUUCACAUUCUUUUAUAUCAACUGUCUCGAUCAGACCAAAUUCAUGACAAGAAUCAUCACCUACAUAGCCUCAAUAACAAUUAAACUUAGCAUAAACUCAUGAAGAAGCAUCAUAAGAAGAAGACUCUAAAGUAAAAUUGAUAAAAAUAUUACAUAAUUUUUAUUUUAUUUGAAAAAAUAUCCAAAGGUUGUUAGCCACAAGGCAAGAAACUAGAAAAAUUGUCAUUGGUCUUGUUGGGAAUAUGAAAGAAAGAAAAAAAAAUGAAAAAGUUGAACGAGUGUUUGGGAAACAAACAAAGUAUGGAAGAGAACCGCAAAGUGUAGGUAUAGCACACGAAUCGAGUGGAGAGAACGAGCGUAAUAAACAUGUCAGACACAGAGUUAGACCCCCUGUGGGUUUGCUUGGCGUCAGAGUCUUAGACCAUACUUAAAGAUGAGAGUCUCAUUUUCUCCUCAUUUGUUUCUUUUCUUUUUAUUCAUUUAUUUUUCCAAGUGAUGACAAGAACUGUACUCUAUGCCACUCUAUAAGACUACCCAGGAUGUUUUAUAUACAUACACUUGGAAUAAGAAGUUUUCAGGUUUGAUGCAACUUGUUCCAAUUCUCAUUCUUGAAGUAGUUAUCUUGCUGGUAUAUUUUUAUGAAGGAUACUUGAAAAUAAAACUUGAUGCUUCCUUGGACAAAUAUUGAUAAUUGGUACUUAUCUACUAGUCUUCACAAUAAACUCAACUAAAAUUAAGGAAUUAAAACAGGUACUUUGAAAGGCUAAAAAUUUGGAGCAGGUCAACACCAGAAAUCCUACCAGGUGGCUAAUAGCAAACUUUGGAUGUUCAUCUUAAUUUUCAAGUCAUUUACUGCCUCACAAUGAUAAUUAUCUAUCAUCUGGUACAAUCAUGGAGUUUUCUAGUGGAAAUGAGUAGCCAAAAUAUUCUUCACUGCUAAAAUAAAUAUUUACUCAUAGAAAUAGCAUUGGAAUGUUGAUCUGUAAUCUAGAUCUUCCUUGGACAAGGAACCGCUAGUCGCAACGGCCUUUAUGCCGUUGUUCGGUGUUCGAGCGAUGCACAAGCAGAGUCUGAGUCGAUGCACUUCCUCUAACUUCUCCAAUUU
rnacentral:lncRNA from 1 species